rnacentral:misc_RNA from 1 species
GGCCAACAGAUCGCCAGAUCGUUGAGCUGCAUUGGCGGGAUUUCGCCGUCUACGUUUCUCUUUCUUCGCGGACGAACACGCGCUGGGGCUGCAGGCUUGCAGAAUCCCUGGUCCUUAACAGGAUAAGCGUUAGGGGCUUGUAGCUCAGUUGGUUAGAGCGCGCGCUUGAUAAGCGUGAGGUCGGAAGUUCAAGUCUUCCCAGGCCCACCACUUUCAUCGAGUGAGCAUUCGUCUUCUGGUUACGGGGCCAUAGCUCAGCUGGGAGAGCGCGUGCUUUGCAAGCAUGAGGUCGUCGGUUCGAUCCCGUCUGGCUCCACCAGAUGGUUUGAUCACCGAGAUCUUGUACCGUCGUCCGCGAAACAUCACUUCGCAUCCUGCUAGUCUGGAUAGACAGCAAGAUGCGUGAUUUCUGACAUCGUAAAGAGGAGAUCGAUCCGAGUUGGAUCGUGCGGCAAGCAAUUGCCACGCGAGACUUCAUUAUCUCCGGAUCAUUUCGGCGCUCGUGCGUCCUUCAAGGUCAAACUUGGAAGACAUGCGAGUUGUAAAUGAUCCUUUUAGCGAAGCUUGACCGCCUCGCUAUCGGAACGAUCUUACGAAGCAAGCUGGUCUUUCUAGUCAAUGUCCGGCUGCAGAUAGCGUUCAUCGAGGGCGCGUGCCGCAAGGCAAUUCUGCAGACAACAUUCUGCCGAGUGUGUGGACAUUGAUAAUGAGAGCAAUCAAGUGCCUUAAGGGUGUUCGGUGGAUGCCUUGGCGCUGAGAGGCGAUGAAGGACGUGCUACGCUGCGAUAAGCCGUGGGGAGCUGCGAAGAAGCUUUGAUCCGCGGAUUU